GUCCAAUGACAAAAAUAUGCCCAUUUCUUGUCCAGCAUUUAGUGAUGCCAAAUUGUUGCCGAGCAGCCAAAAAAACCUCAUGUCUGCUCUUGGUAAGAAAUUCGGAGAGAGUGAUCCCCGUACCCUUCAGAUUGAUUUUGGAUGACCAAAUGUGCUCCUUGUCGGACAGGUUGCGGAGUUUGAUGAGAAUUGGUCGUGGCUUGUUCUCCUUGGGGCUUCCUAGCCUGUGACAUCGACUCACUCCAUUGAUGGACAAAUUUGGUAACUUUAAAUUGGUGGAUAGAAUAUUCAAGAUUGUCACAUAACUUAUACAGACAGUCAACCUGAGUCUGAAGGCAUUGCAGUGAGGUGAUAACAAAGGAUCGGAAAGCUGUAAAGUCAGAUGCCAACCUAGUCGGAGGACUGGCCAAUGAAGUGGUAGUGGAAGUUUUUUUGAGAUCCUCUUGGAAUUCCAGCAUUCUUUUAUUAAACAUUUCGGACAUCUGUGCCAUAGAUUCCUUGAUAGAAUGUAAAUCCAUAUUGUCAUUCAUUCUUAAGAUUAAAAAGUGCAGUCAAGUGAGGUUAGGAAUGACAAAGUAAAAUAGAAAGUGAAGAAUUGAUUUUGGAUAAUAGUUUUAGUGUUAUUUUUGUAGGAGAAUGAUCCGGCAAGUACGUAGGUAACUUAAAACAUAAUUUAUUAAACUUUUUAAAUUAAAUACCAAUAAAAUAGCGUGGAGCAAAU